GACGUAGGAGGCGAGCGUUGUCCGGAUUCAUUGGGCGUAAAGAGCGCGCAGGCGGCUUGGUAAGUCGGAUGUGAAAUCCCGAGGCUCAACCUCGGGUCUGCAUCGGAUACUGCCCGGCUAGAGGUAGGUAGGGGAGAUCGGAAUUCCUGGUGUAGCGGUGAAAUGCGCAGAUAUCAGGAAGAACACCCGUGGCGAAGGCGGCUCUCUGGGACGGUACUGACGCUGAGACGCGAAAGCGUGGGGAGCGAACAGG
rnacentral:rRNA from 1 species